AAGGAGUAGGGAAGGAAGAAAGCUGGAACAGACAUGGGGUAGUUUAUUACAAUAUGACUCCCAGUAUUGUCUAAUGCCCCCACUUACUCCAAAAUCUGGAUUAUAAUGUUCUGAAGUCGGGAAUGAGAGAAGUCAAGUUGUUCCACAUGAAAUCAGGUGCCUUUGCGGAUCCAAACAAUCGGAGACCAAAUCCUGGCCAUACCCCUGAGCAAUCAUGUGACCUUGGGAACAUAUCUUUACCAUCACCUUCAUUAAAUCAAAACCGUGGUACUUCA